GCUUAACCGAAGAAGUGCAUCGGAAACUGGGUAACUUGAGUGCAGAAGAGGACAGUGGAACUCCAUGUGUAGCGGUGGAAUGCGUAGAUAUAUGGAAGAACACCAGUGGCGAAGGCGGCUGUCUGGUCUGCAACUGACGCUGAGGCUCGAAAGCAUGGGUAGCGAACAGGAUUAGAUACCCUGGUAGUCCAUGCCGUAAACGAUGAGUGCUAGGUGUUGGAGGGUUUCCGCCCUUCAGUGCCGGAGCUAACGCAUUAAGCACUCCGCCUGGGGAGUACGACCGCAAGGUUGAAACUCAAAGGAAUUGACGGGGGCCCGCACAAGCGGUGGAGCAUGUGGUUUAAUUCGAAGCUACGCGAAGAACCUUACCAGGUCUUGACAUCUUGCGCUAACCUAAGAGAUUAGGCGUUCCCUUCGGGGACGCAAUGACAGGUGGUGCAUGGUCGUCGUCAGCUCGUGUCGUGAGAUGUUGGGUUAAGUCCCGCAACGAGCGCAACCCUUGUUACUAGUUGCCAGCAUUCAGUUGGGCACUCUAGUGAGACUGCCGGUGACAAACCGGAGGAAGGUGGGGACGACGUCAGAUCAUCAUGCCCCUUAUGACCUGGGGCUACACACGUGCUACAAUGGUCGGUACAACG
rnacentral:rRNA from 1 species